rnacentral:lncRNA from 1 species
GUAAAUAAAAACAUUAAUUUCGUUUAAUUUGAAAUUAAAGCAAAAAGACAUUAUAUGUUUUCCUAAAAUCAUUAAUGAUGUAGACAUAUCAAUGCCUUGCCAACUCGCGAAUUAACAUGUUUAUCGUAUUGUUGUCAGCAAACGGGAUAAGAGUUUUGCCUCAUAUUGCUUGGCAAACAGUAAGUCUACUUUCUUUUUGAAUUUAAUUCAUGAACGAGUUAAAAAUUUUGACACAAAUUCUUGUUUCUGCAGUACAAUGAUUUGCUUGUCGCACACAUUCACAGUCAUUGUAUAACUAUCCUCGUGUAAACAUCGCAGAUCUCUACAUUGCAAACGUCCUCUAUUUCAGUAUAGUAUAACUCUAUCUAAUCCUUUGUUCAUUUCAAAAUGCCAAGUUUGAGGUAUGGAUUAGGGAGAUACUCUUUCAUGUUGCUUGUUCAAAGAGAAAAAUAUUAAAAAUCGAGGAAAUUCAGAAGAACAAGAAAAGUGUGUAGUAUUGGGAAGCGUUUGAGAUUUAUAAAGGUCCUCUAAAAUAAAAAAGAACGACUUUAGGAUUGACAUAUGAAUUUUUCCGAAAAACUAAAGCACAUUGGAAGAUGAAUAUAUUCUGAUAAUUAAUUAAUUGCGUAAAGGAUGUCAAUGUAAAAUGCUAAGGCAGAGAGCUGGGUUCAGUCGUCGAUUUUAAGCCUCGAGAAUCGCCAGCUAAUUGAAGAAAGAAGAGGUAAGUAAAUAAAACUUGGGAGGCAAAAACGCAGUUGACAAGAAUUUAAAAAAAAAAGUGAAGAUGAAGAUGAAGAUGAACAAUAUUUUACUUACUAUCCAAACAAUUUAAUAUGACAAUAGCAUACAACAAAUUACAAUGUCAUGCUAGGUUUCCCUAAUUUUUUUGGUAUUCUGACUUUCAACUUUUCUGAUAUGAUUGUUGAUUUCCCGACUUGUUUACGCAUCUCGUUUCUCCAGGUUUUUGUAUCGACGUCCUUCAUCAUAUGUUAACUCUAUCGGGGAUUAGAAAAAAAGGCGCAAAAUUAAACAAUCAAAGAUUGCCGCCAUGCAAUGAUUUCAAAUCCAAUCUACCCACAUCCGCUAUCUAAGGUAUUUACCGAGAAAGAACUCGACAAGACGGUUAUAUUAUAGAGAAAUGAAAAGAAGGUUGAUAUUAGAGGAAAGAGGAUUGUAUUGCGAAUAGAAAUGAUGUUUGGCUCAUUCUAUAUGAAACUUUGUCAAUUUACUUCUUCUUGUUUUAUUUAAGUUGAAACGAUUUACUUUUCUUUUUAUUCGUUAUUAGUUGUUUUUUAUUUGAUUUUGUUUUGGAUAGCUGUAGUCAUAUGUAUGCUUUUUUUUCGGUUUCAUUAUUCUUUUCAUUUCUACAUUUCUUACAGAUAGUUUAUUUUGCAAAAUCAAUUAAAAAAAAACAGUUCUGAUGAUAAGGAUAAUACACUUGCAAACAACUGGAUCUUAGUUAUCAAUGGAUCCUCGUAUCCUUAAUUUUUUAAAAAUUUCGUAAGUUUCUUUACGUACCGAAAAAUAGCGAAAUCAGGACAAUAGAGAAGAAGAGGUUAUUGCUUUUUGAUGGAAAGUACAUGAUCAACUGUUUUCCUGUACUAUAGAAAAAUUGGUGUUUAUUUUUUGUUUCCUCUAUUUUACUAUACGAUUUAUUGUGUUUCGUUUUUACUGUACGAAUUAUUGUGUUUUCGCCAAACAUGCUCUUUGCUCUCUCUCUCUCUCUUUUCACCAUAUCAUUUCAAUUCAUCUCUUGAUAAUAAAUGAUUCACUUCAGCAUAAAUCAUCACUAGCACAAAACAUCACUAUUAACACAACAUAACAUAAUCUCCCGUAUUAUCAAAAUUUCUAGUAUUAGCAUGAUCUCUAAUAUUACCACAAUCUUACUGUUAACAA